rnacentral:rRNA from 1 species
GUGGAUUAGAUACCCGAGUAGUCCACGCCCUAAACUAUGUCUACUAGUUGUUGGGGGAGUUAAAUCCCUUAGUAACGCAGCUAACGCGAGAAGUAGACCGCCUGGGGAGUACGGUCGCAAGAUUAAAACUCAAAGGAAUUGACGGGGGCCCGCACAAGCGGUGGAUGAUGUGGUUUAAUUCGAUGCAACGCGAAAAACCUUACCUACCCUUGACAUGUCCGGAAUCCUGCAGAGAUGCAGGAGUGCCCGAAAGGGAGCCGGAACACAGGUGCUGCACGGCUGUAGUCAACU